rnacentral:lncRNA from 1 species
AAUCAUUGACAGGCCUGAGAGUUUUCCAUACGGCCUGCACCCUAACCUCUGGGAAGAAAAUAUCCACAAUGAAAUUUCUACAAGAUUAGAGGAAGGAGAGAGGCAACGGGGAUUCCAUUUCUACUAGGAGUAUCAACCUCUGAGAGAAAAAUAUCCAUCUCUGUGGAUGUCAUCUGCUCUGCAGAAAACCCUUUCCUGGAACUCCCAGAUCAUUGACAGGCCUGAGAGUUUUCCAUACGGCCUGCACCCUAACCUCUGGGAAGAAAAUAUCCACAAUGAAAUUUCUACAAGAUUAGAGGAAGGAGAGAGGCAACGGGGAUUCCAUUUCUACUAGGAGUAUCAACCUCUGAGAGGGAUAUAUCCAUCUCUGUGGAUGUCAUCUGCUCUGCAGAAAACCCUUUCUUGGAACUACCAGGAAACAUGAAUCUGAUGUGGACCCUCCUCCUUUUCCUCCUUUUGGACGUAACUGUCUUCAUUCCAGCCCUGCCCUUCUCAACACGACAUUUAGACAACCCCAGGUCGUGGGUCCCUAGAGGACACCACCGAUACUGUGAUGUGAUGAUGAGGUGCCGUUGGCUGAUCUAUAGGGGUAAAUGCGAGCAGAUCCACACAUUCAUUCAUAGAAUCUGACCACCAUAGCAGAUUUCUGCAGAACUCCACCACUGCCCUGUACCAACAGCCCCUCCAUGUGCAGCUGCCACAACAGUACUCAUGAUGUCAAUGUCACUGACUGCUUUGCCAGCACAGGGACCCGACCUCUUCACUGCCACUACCAAAAAUAAGAAGGAGUCCACCAGGCCCAUGCGAGUGGGCUGCAAGAAGGGGGCAUCUGUUCACCUGGAUGGCUAGGUUCCUCCUGACAACGGCACCUGAAUGACUUGCACCCUACGCCUUCAAAUCUGUGCAGCACUGUCAAGGUCUUCUUUGUAAAUGCUUCGUCCUUUGCACGCAGGCUCCUGCGUCUUUCUUACAGCCUGUUCCCCACCAACCCCAUGUGCCCUACCCCUGCCACAGUGUCAGGGCUUUUGGUGGAGGAUAAGGCUGCAGUGGAGGGUUGGUGGGAGGGAGCCUGAAUUACGGAAAUAAUACUCGGGAAAAGACUUGCUCCAACCAAGCUGCUAGACAAUCCCCUUCUCCUGGGGCUGAUCUUCCCACCAGCUGCUCUCAUAAAACCUCCUGAUGGCUGGCCCUAGGUUUCCUGGAUCAUAGGGUCCUUCUGCCUUCUGCGGGACAUUCUAUGCCUUUCUCCUCAAUGGGCUCCUUCGGAGGGUAUUAGGGACGAUACCCUGGCGGGAAACCGCUUCCUUUAGGGAAACAAAUCACUGUGGCUCCAGGGGUGUCACCGGAAAAAGCCGUUUCCGGAGAAGCCGGAGGAGCUUGGGCAACUCCGCAGGCCCAGAGCCUUCGUGGUCUCCCAGUUCCCGUGGCCGUCGUAUUGGUCGGCAGGGGGCGCCGCGCCACAAGCUUCCUGCACAAGAGUCCAAAACUUCUUUCUUGGUUUCCUUUGAGACAGGCUGCAGGUUUCUUGGUUGCUGACACGGGUAGACGAUAAUAGGUGAAUAAACAAAAUCCAGCCAGCAUAAAUACAGUCUAACUGUUGAAGAACAGAUUUCUGAGUCUACCAUAACUUUCAUACACUGCAGCACUUUAACGUUGAACCUGCCACCUUCAGAUUCACACUGCAGCACCUCAGAUUUGAUAAAUGGUUGGUCCUUAUGAUCCACUGAUGCAGACUACUUGGGAGGUCCCAAUGUCCUGGUGCCCAAAGGCAAGAUCAUUUUUCCCCCUGCAGUGUUUCUGUCUAUCAUGAUGAUGUGAGUGGGCUCUUAUUGGGGGUGCCUAAUGCUGCCAUAAAGAAAGAGUUUUCUUGGCUUGGUGCAGUGGCUCACGCCUGUAAUCCCAACACUUUGGGA